rnacentral:ncRNA from 1 species
CAGGUGGAAUGAAAAAACACGAUUCGGUUGGUAGUCCGGAUGCAUCCAUUCUUUUGGAUGUCAGUAACCUUCCCCUCCUCGGGAUGUCCGUCAUUCCAUGAAUUCAA